AUGUCUGUGUGUGUGUGUGUAUGUGUCAGUAUGUCUGUGUGUGUGUGUAUGUCAGUAUGUCUGUCAUAGACACACACAGACAUACUGACAUACAUACACAAACAGACAU